UCCAAUUUGGACAAAAUCGAUUUCCCAAAUUCACAAGUCCCAAAAUACACAGCUGAAGAGGUUGUAGAACCCACAAUAACCACAGAUACGCCGCUAUAGAACCCCACAAUGCCCUUCUCUUGAAAUGUCUUGACUAUAGCAUCGAGGGUGCUGCUAUAAAUCUGAGAUGCACCCUUCGUUUGCAACUUUGUUUUGAUGGUAUCAAGUGGGUGCAGGCAUACGUAAGUAAAUGCACCAGCUAUGCCACCACCUCCAGCUCCAAUGAGGGCUCGCUCAAGGACUGAGAGGUUCUUCAUGAGGGAUUGGACUUUGGGGCUGUUUCUUGAAGUGGGUUCGAGCCAUUUCGAGAAGUUGGGCGUGCUUUUGGUGUUAGAAGAGAGAGAAUUGGAAGCAAAUGGAAGGGAUUUGGUGAUGGGUUUGUUGUGUUUUUUGACGGGGUUGUGCGGAGUUUGGGUUGAUAAGGGAGAGAAGAAGUGAGUGAAGAGAUUGGUGAAGUUAGUGUCGAUUAGUGGGUGGUAUUGAUUACGGGGAUCUGGGGAUGGGAGGCCUAGGGAUGCACAGAGAUUGGCCUCCAUUGCUAUAGUACAGAGAAAGCUUAUUUUGCUUCCUCCGCCGUUCACCUGUUCA
rnacentral:misc_RNA from 1 species